CAAAAGGAUCCCUAGUAACGGCGAGUGAAGCGGGAAGAGCUCAAAUUUGAAAUCUGGCAGUCUUCGAUUGUCCGAGUUGUAAUCUAUAGAGGCGUUUUCCGUGCCGGACCGUGUCCAAGUCUCCUGGAAAGGAGUAUCAAAGAGGGUGAUAAUCCCGUACUUAACACGACCACCGGUGCUCUGUGAUACGUCUUCUACGAGUCGAGUUGUUUGGGAAUGCAGCUCAAAAUGGGUGGUGAAUUCCAUCUAAAGCUAAAUAUUGGCGAGAGACCGAUAGCGAACAAGUACCGUGAGGGAAAGAUGAAAAGCACUUUGGAAAGAGAGUUAAACAGUACGUGAAAUUGUUGAAAGGGAAACGAUUGAAGUCAGUCGUGUUCUUUGGAUUCAGCCAGUUCUGCUGGUCUACUUCCUUGGAACGGGUCAACAUCAGUUUUGUCCGGUGGAUAAAGGUAGUAGGAAUGUGACUUCUCCGGAAGUGUUAUAGCCUAUUAUCACAUACACUGGGUGAGACUGAGGACUGCAGCUCGCCUUUAUGGCCGGCCUUCGGGCACGUUCGAGCUUAGGAUGUUGACAUAAUGGCUUUAAACGACCCGUCUUGAAACCACGGACCAAAA
rnacentral:rRNA from 1 species